UUUCCAUUAUUCCUUAAGAUUUUCUCUUUGCUUCUUUUAGUAACCCUAACAAGAUUGGUUCAAAGUCUUGAAAAUGAAAAUGGCAAAUUUAUGUUUUGCCAAAAGGGUUAUCUCCGUCUCCAUCUAAAUCUCUAAUCUUCCAAAAUUUUCCCUAAAUUUGCAGUCGAUUCAUCUGCCUGUUUGUGGGGAAGGGGUGCUAAGGUCAUCUUCUCAGUUGUGUAACUUUUCUUCUAAAGAUCAAGAAUCCAAAGAAGAACGAGGAAAAGAAAAGUAAAGGACUAAAGUGUAAGGUUUAGUCACAUUUUGUAUCAAGUACUUAUCUAGUCACUCGGGAUCGAAGGAAAUGUCGGAGGCCGAUCACACUAUCAAAGAAAUAACUUCGGUAUAACUAGUCGUUUUGUUUUGGGUAUGGCAUGUAUAGAAACUUAGCUACUUUUGGUAUAAUAUGAAUAAUGAAUGAUGUGUAAAUACUUGCUAGUGAUUAGCUAAGAAAAUAGCUGAUGAUAUACAUGUUUAUUAAUAUGUAUGAUUGAAUGAUGAUUAUCACAUGAAAAUUAUGAAAA